rnacentral:rRNA from 1 species
GACGAACGCUGGCGGCGUGCUUGACACAUGCAAGUCGAACGGAGAGGCCCUGCUUUUGUGGGGUGCUCGAGUGGCGAACGGGUGAGUAACACGUGAGUAACCUGCCCUUGACUUUGGGAUAACUUCGGGAAACUGGGGCUAAUACCGGAUAGGAGCUCCUGCUGCAUGGUGGGGGUUGGAAAGUUUCGGCGGUUGGGGAUGGACUCGCGGCUUAUCGGCUUGUUGGUGGGGUAGUGGCUUACCAAGGCUUUGACGGGUAGCCGGCCUGAGAGGGUGACCGGCCACAUUGGGACUGAGAUACGGCCCAGACUCCUACGGGAGGCAGCAGUGGGGAAUAUUGCACAAUGGGCGGAAGCCUGAUGCAGCAACGCCGCGUGCGGGAUGACGGCCUUCGGGUUGUAAACCGCUUUCGCCUGUGACGAAGCGUGAGUGACGGUAAUGGGUAAAGAAGCACCGGCUAACUACGUG